rnacentral:lncRNA from 1 species
AGUUACACCACGUCAGAUGCCCGGUCAGCAACCCCGACCAACCAGGACGUGUUAGGUGGCAGAGGUGCUGACGUGGGAGGCCACACGGGGGAGCCACGUGGGAAAUCCGUGUACGCGCGAUCGAACGGCUAAGAUUUGUUCCCGCGCGUACGGACAACCCAUAUUGAAAACAUGCACAGACAGUUCAAAUUGCAUCGCGCACAGACGGUCCAGAUUGAAUCACGCACGGAUGACUCAGAUUGAAUCGCAAUGAACGGUUCAGAUUAAAAGUGAUGGACCGCCCAGAUCAAAAGCGAAUAGGUAUAAAUAACCCCAUCCACACUCAAACCCUAACCCUAACUACCAGAGCCCCUCACUGGAGAAAACAACCCAGUCGCCGGGGAGCCGACCGCCGCCACCUGCCGUCAUGCCAGAUUUUCGAAAUUGGCCGAGUAGCCCUGAGACUGAUUUUUGGGUUUAUUUGGGACAUUUAUAAGCAU